GAUUGAGUUUGCAUUAGAAGCCACUGACUUUACAUCAUGGAUCAAUCAAUCAACAAAUAUGUAGGGGGAAGUUAGGCGACUCAGUGGAGUGAGAACCAGCCAGGAGACAAGACAGGUUCAAAUGUGGAUUCAGAAAGGUUCUCUAUACCUGGUGGAUCAUAGCCUGCUCUCAGGCCUCUCUCCUGGCCUCAUCCAUGGGAACCUCAAUUCAUGGCUUCCCCAAUGACUCUGCUAUACCAGCAACCAGAUGGUGGGCCACUGGUGCCCUUUGCCAUCCAGCUCAGCCAGACUCCAGGUCCCAACAACCCUUGCCAGUCUUCUUGCCAACUGAUUCAAAGGAGGACUGACUUCCGGCCAAGACUUGGGUUUGCAAUUCAGAGUUCCUCAUUCAUGAGAUGGUCUCCCAUGUGCUCUCCACACACUUCAUUUUUGAAGCUUUUGCCAUAGCCACCAUGUGUCAGCUACCCACGUGCCAUCCAAUCUUCAAGCUACUCAUCCCCCAUUUUCACUAUACAUUUCACAUCAAUACUACAGCUUACACAGACUUCUUUAGACCUGGGGGCCUCACUGAUAAGGUCCUCUGCAAUUGUGGUCCCCUCCUGAAAGCUACCACUUCCAAGCUUCCUUCCUACACCGAAGAACGAUCUCUCACCAGUGAGAAGUCACAUAUGACCAGGACUUCUCACUGAAGGCCAGGCAUCCCUACUGAAAUAAAGAAAUCUCUGCUUCAAUGUAGUUUGUGCGG
rnacentral:lncRNA from 1 species